rnacentral:rRNA from 1 species
UCGAGAAUAGUCUACAAUGGACGAAAGUCUGAUAGUGCGACGCCGCGUGAACGAAGAAUCCCUUCGGGGUGUAAAGUUCUUUUAUAUGUGAGCAAUGCUUCCUAGGUGAAUAGUUUAGGGAGAGAGAUAUUAGCAUAUGAAUAAGCAACGGCUAACUCCGUGCCAGCAGCCGCGGUAACACGGGGGUUGCUAGCGUUGUCCGGAAUUACUAGGCGUAAAGGGCAGGUAGGCGGAUAGAUAAGUUUGAUGUUAAAGGCGACGGCUUACCCGUCGUAAGGCAUUAGAUACUGUUUAUCUGGAAUACGGUUGGGGAAGACAGAAUUCCUGGUGUAGCGGUGGAAUGCGCAGAGAUCAGGAGGAAUACCAAAGGCGAAGGCAGUCUUCUAAGCCGUUAUUGACGCUAAACUGCGAAGGUGUGGGUAUCAAACA